ACUCCUACGGGAGGCAGCAGUGGGGAAUCUUGCGCAAUGGGCGAAAGCCUGACGCAGCAACGCCGCGUGUGUGAUGAAGGCCUUCGGGUUGUAAAGCACUGUCAAGAGGGAAGAACAUUCCGAUGUUAUCGGAACUGACGGUACCUCCAGAGAAAGCUCCGGCUAACUCCGUGCCAGCAGCCGCGGUAAU
rnacentral:rRNA from 1 species